rnacentral:rRNA from 1 species
AUUGAACGCUGGCGGCAUGCUUUACACAUGCAAGUCGAACGGCAGCGCGGGCUUCGGCCUGGCGGCGAGUGGCGAACGGGUGAGUAAUACAUCGGAACGUGCCCAGUAGUGGGGGAUAGCUCGGCGAAAGCCGGAUUAAUACCGCAUACGACCUGAGGGUGAAAGCGGGGGAUCUUCGGACCUCGCGCUAUUGGAGCGGCCGAUGGCAGAUUAGCUAGUUGGUGGGUAAAGGCCUACCAAGGCGACGAUCUGUAGCUGGUCUGAGAGGACGACCAGCCACACUGGGACUGAGACACGGCCCAGACUCCUACGGGAGGCAGCAGCGGGGAAUUUUGGACAAUGGGCGAAAGCCUGAUCCAGCAAUGCCGCGUGUGUGAUGAAGGCCUUCGGGUUGUAAAGCACUUUUGGCGGGAACGAAAAGGACUGUGCCAAUACCACGGUUCGAUGACGGUACCCGCAGAAUAAGCACUGGCUAACUACGUG